GAUGAACGCUGGCGGCGUGCCUAAUACAUGCAAGUCGAGCGAACAGACGAGGAGCUUGCUCCUCUGACGUUAGCGGCGGACGGGUGAGUAACACGUGGAUAACCUACCUAUAAGACUGGGAUAACUUCGGGAAACCGGAGCUAAUACCGGAUAAUAUAUUGAACCGCAUGGUUCAAUAGUGAAAGACGGUUUUGCUGUCACUUAUAGAUGGAUCCGCGCCGCAUUAGCUAGUUGGUAAGGUAACGGCUUACCAAGGCAACGAUGCGUAGCCGACCUGAGAGGGUGAUCGGCCACACUGGAACUGGGACACGGUCCAGACUCCUACGGGAGGCAGCAGUAGGGAAUCGUCCGCAAUGGGCGAAAGCCUGACGGAGCAACGCCGCGUGAGUGAUGAAGGUCUUCUGAUCGUAAAACUCUGUUAUUAGGGAAGAACAAAUGUGUAAGUAACUAUGCACGUCUUGACGGUACCUAAUCAGAAAGCCACGGCUAACUACGUG
rnacentral:rRNA from 1 species